rnacentral:lncRNA from 1 species
AAAAUCAGAAGCUAAAGACAUUUGUAUUAUUAUUGAGAGGCUCUUUUGCUAGCAGAAAUCUGUUUUUUCAUCAAGGACAAGUGUACCAAAUAACUCUUAUUUAUAUUGCAGGGGCUGAACUUCAAGACAAAAAUUUUAAAAAUAAAAACUGCUUUUCCUGUGAGCAGCCGCCCCAUGCAGAAGAAAAAGCUUGCCAGAGCUGCUUGCAUGUGCAUAUGAGUAUUCUGCUGAAUUAACCUAGACACAUCAGAAUUUAAUACAUCCCAUCUUGAACUUCUUUGAAACUCAGCUUCCUGGCAUUCAGUGAUGCAACACCUGAAACUAGACACUGGCAUGGAAAAGUUUACAAUCUGUUUUAUGAGCCAGCUGGAGACCUGAACUCAGAAUGUCUCAUCAUUUGAUGUACUUUCUCCCUUUUCACUCCACACCUAGACCUUUAUUUCUGCUAAGCGUCUGCUGAUCUAGUAUUUGAGUGUUGUCAGGCAAGCAAAUAAAUUUAGCUUUGUUUCAAACUGCCAUUUCGGUGU